CUACGGGGGGCUCCAGUGAGGAAUAUUGGACAAUGGGGGAAACCCUGAUCCAGCAAUGCCGCGUGUGUGAAGAAGGCCUGCGGGUUGUAAAGCACUUUCGGUUGGGAGGACUGCUUCUAGCACUAAUAUUGUUGGAAGUUGACGUUACCUUCAGAAGAAGCACCGGCUAACUCCGUGCCAGCAGCCGCGGUAAUAGCGGAGGGUGCAAGCGUUAAUCGGAAUUACUGGGCGUAAAGCGCGCGUAGGCGGCUAGAUCAGUCGGGUGUGAAAGCCCCGGGCUUAACCUGGGAACUGCAUCCGAUACUGUCUAGCUUGAGUACAGGAGAGGAGAGUGGAAUUCCACAUGUAGCGGUGAAAUGCGUAGAUAUGUGGAGGAACACCAAUGGCGAAGGCAGCUCUCUGGCCUGAUACUGACGCUGAGGUGCGAAAGCGUGGGGAGCAAACAGGAUUAGAUACCCGGGUAGUC
rnacentral:rRNA from 1 species